GACGGAGGAUGCAAGUGUUAUCCGGAAUCACUGGGCGUAAAGGGUGCGUAGGCGGUCGGGUAAGUCUGAUGUGAAAUCUCACAGCUUAACUGUGAAACUGCAUUGGAUACUAUUCGGCUUGAGAGUUGGAGGGGGACUGGAAUUCUUGGUGUAGCAGUGAAAUGCGUAGAUAUCAAGAGGAACACCAGUGGCGAAGGCGAGUCCCUGGACAACUUCUGACGCUGAGGCACGAAAGCUAGGGGAGCAAACAGG
rnacentral:rRNA from 1 species